CUCAAACAACGUUCUAAAGACUGUUGACAUCUAGUGGAAGCUUUAGGAAGUGCAAAAUGAACCCAUAGUCACUGUAUACUGGAAAGGCAAAAAAAACAGAGAAAAAUUGAAUCAGGAAGUGGGAGAAUUUAGAAAUGUAGUUUUUGUUUUGAAUCCCUUGGAAAACUUCAGUGACAUAGGAUUUACGUUACACCUCCUAACUCUUCCAUUGGCUGUCAACAAUCUUUAUGAACUGGUUUCAACCGUCAUCUGUUACCGGGCAGAUCAUUUUGGCUCAGUCAAUCAUUGGCCAGUCUGAGGAGAGGUGUCUUAUCAUGCGUGUGUAUGUGACGUCAUCGUUUUUAUAUUUUUCUUCUGGGAUGAAUAGCUAUUGCCCGGUUGUAAAAUUAUCGCAAUUUUACGUUAAAAAAUACCCUAAAGGACAUCGUUUGACGUGUUUCUACAAACGGUAAUGGAACUUUUAACAUUUCGUCUAUGGAUUUGCGUCCACGCCACAUGGCAUUGUAAAGUAUUCUGGAUGGGUCAACAAAACUGACGUAUUUGGACAUAAAUGAUGGUCUUUGCAGAACAAAGGAACAUUUCUUGUGGAUGUGGGUGCCCAUCCGAGUGCAUUCCACCGAAGAUCAGCAAAGGAACCCAGGAAUCCAUAAUAAACACAAAUACAAAUCAUUGACAACACUUGAGGUACGUGUAGUCGAGCUGUUUUCCUUCAGGAAUCUGUGGAGACAUUUGCUGCCCCACAUCUCAAGCACUAAGCCCAGGACAGACCUGUGCUGGCAGUGCCAGAGGAACAACUAUCAGGUCUUCAGAUCUGCCACAAGCUGUGAAGUCAGCCAAGCUGAAGAAGAAAGAGCAGCAUCUCCUGCUUGAUCAGAGUGAGCUGUCUGUCUACCAGAAGAUGGUUGCUGACUGCAAGGCCACCUGUCAAGACCUGUAUGUGACUCUGGGGGCUCCUACUGAACCAGCAAGCAAAGACAUAAGGAUGCUUUACAGCUUUGAUUUUGCUCAACAAGUACACUACCCUUCUGACCCUACGCAGCCAGGUCCCAUCUACUUUUUAACCCCUCACAAGUGUGGCUUGUUUGAUGUCUGAGGUGAAGAAAUACCACAAAAAGUCAACUACCUGAUUGAUGAAGGCAUGUCAUCCAGCAAAGACUGCAGCAUAGUCAUAAUCUACAGUACAUGUACCAUUUCUUCACCAACUAUGGAGUUGGGGAAACAAGUGUGGACUUGAACUGUGAUAACUGCAGUGGCAUAAACAAGAACAAGUUUGUGCUCUGGUAUUGUACCUGGCGGACCAUGCACAGGCUCCACCACAGUCUGGACCUUCACCUCCUGAUCACAGGCCACACCAAGUUUUCCCCCGACUGGUGCUUCAGCCUCAUCAAGCAGCGCUUCAGAAAGCCCAGAGUGAACACUUUGUCUGAGAUUGCUGGUGUUGUGAAGGACAGCACUGUGAAAGGGGUCAGCAUCCCACAGCUGGUUGGACUGGAGUAUGGUACCGUGCUGGUGGAAAGCUAUGGCUGGCAACAACACCUGACUCCGUACUUCAGGCCGCUAACACAGAUCAAGUAGUAACAAUGCAUUGUGUGAGGUUAUUCUUCUUAUCUAUACUUGGGAGGUGAAUUGUUGUGCAAGGUUGCAAGUCUUCAAGUUAUUUUUUGGUUAUUUCCUGUUUUACAGCUUCGAUGCUCUGGAGACUGGUGUUGUUUUGUUGCCAAGGAGCAUUCGGACUCAGUCAGGACCGGGUUUCAGCUGCUGCGCAACGCUGACAUCCUACCUCCCAUAGAUGGUCUGCCUGUACAAGCACCACCUGGACUGGAUACAGCUAGACAAACUUAUGUUUUUAAGAAGAUCAGGGAGUUUUGCGAUGAAGAGGCUAUGGACAUCACAUGCCUUGCACCAAAGUCAAGGGCAGGACAGAAACAGGCUCUCCGAAUAUAGAUUCCCUUGUUUGGACGGACCUGUCAUCAGCACUAUCUGCAGUGCCUCUAUUCAAUUGACUCUCUCCUAACACACACACCAUACGUUGCUGCUACAAUUUUUUAUCCCGCUGCUCAGCCACUUGACCCGAUUGUAUGCAUAAAACUACCUCGUCUAUAACUAGUGUUAUUGAUAUAUUGCAUAUUUGAUUUAUAUUGACGCUAUCUAUUUCUGAUAUUGCUACCAUGCAAGUAACCAUUUGGCUGUACUGUUUACACCUUCUGUAGAGACCCAUCCACUGAGCAAUACUUAGCAAAUUAUUGACAUAUAAAAUUAAUUUUUGAUAUGUGUGGUCGUAACAUAAUUUUGUGAUAUACCACAACAAUAUCAUGUGACCGUAUCAAGUGUCCACCACAUAAAUAUUUGGCACAUGCAUCUGUUUAGGCACUGUACAUGUGCACUUCACUCAGGUUUCAACUCAGGUUGCAUGGCCUUAACUUAUGUAUGGAAGACUGUGAUAAGUGCGUGUGUAACCGUUUAUAAAGUAUGCUAUUGUACUGGUGUGAAGGCAUUUGGGCAGUGGUGUAAAGUACUUCAGUAAAAAUACUUUAAAGUACUACUUAAGUAUUUGUUGGGGGUAUCUGUACAUUACUUUACUAUUUAUAUUUUUGGCAACUUUUACUUCACUACAUUCCCAAAAGAUAACAAUGUACUUUUUACACCAUACAUUUUCCCUGACACCCAAAAUACUUGUUCCAUUUUGACAGGAAAAUUGUCCAAUUCACACACUUAUCAAGAGAACAUCCCUG
rnacentral:lncRNA from 1 species